ensembl:snoRNA
UGCAGCCAUGUCAAGUUCAGUGCCUACCCUACUGAUGGCAGGCACUGGCCCAAAAGGCUGCCGUAGAAAUACUGUGACUCAUGGGCCCUGUGCCCUUUGCCUGGACUCAGGGAUAAAUUAGGUCACAGAUAUCA